rnacentral:rRNA from 1 species
UACGAAGGGGGCUAGCGUUGCUCGGAAUUACUGGGCGUAAAGCGCACGUAGGCGGCUUCUUAAGUCGGUGGUGAAAUCCUGGAGCUCAACUCCAGAACUGCCUUCGAUACUGGGAAGCUCGAGUCCGGGAGAGGUGAGUGGAACUGCGAGUGUAGAGGUGAAAUUCGUAGAUAUUCGCAAGAACACCAGUGGCGAAGGCGGCUCACUGGCCCGGUACUGACGCUGAGGUGCGAAAGCGUGGGGAGCGAUCCGG